ensembl:lncRNA
AAGCUUCAGCAAGAGAGGAGCCGUCCGGCAGGGCUCCCGGUUCUCGUUCUGUUUUCGCACUGCUCAUUCCCCUGCUCUCUCUCCCCUCAGAUCUGGACAUGGCCAGGGAAGCCAAGCCGAGCCGGGCCAGGCUGGGCCAGAAGAGGCAGCACAGCAGCAGCCUGUACCACAGUAACUGUGACCUGGACUACGAUCUCUACAGGGACGACUUCCCGUACCGGUGAGCGUGGCGGCACAAAGCGGGGGGCCCAGGCGGGCAGCCCCAGCACCCCUUCCCCCACCUCUGGCAGAGGCUGCGCUGCCCUCAAGCAGCACCCGUGCCGGGGCUGUGCCAGUCAUUGGGGUGGGGGCAGCGUUUUUAUGCUCACGCUGCUGGUUUUGUGCCCUCGCAGGGUGUACGAGUACCAGAAGAUCCCACCCCUCAUUAACCGCAUCCCCGUCAAGGCCAGGAGAACUCACGCAGGAGCAGGAGGCAAAAGCAGCCCGAGCCCCCAGCCCGGGGCACGGAGCAGCAGCAGCAGCAGCUCCACGGGGACACGGACAAAACGUGAGCGGGACGCGGUGGCUGGGCUGGAGGGGAAGCGCUGGGUCCUGCGGGAGGGGGCGAGCCGGGGAGCCUGGCUGCGUGCACCUCGGUGCGUUGCAGCAGUGCCUGUGCCCACACAUCUUGCUCGGUGCUAACCUCAUUGCUACAAGGCGUGGGGUGGGAUCCCUAAAAAGCUCCUCUCGCCCGCAGUGCGAGCCGAGGAGCUGCACUCCAUCAAGGGGGAGCUGAGCCAGAUCAAGGCGCAGGUGGACAGCCUGCUGGAGAGCCUGGACCGCAUGGACCAGCGGAGAGAGCGGCUCUCGGGUGAGGGAUGCUGCCUGCCCCGGACUCAGCCGGGUCCAAACCCCGCUGAGACGUUCCCCACACCGGUCCCCUCCCCUCGUCCCCUUUGGUGCCAUGGGGCUUUGCCCCCUGCCCUGUGAGCACGGGGCUGGUGCUCUGCACGGGCACGCCGAGCUCCCACCAUCCCUGUCCCCGCAGGGUGCAAGGAGAGUGAGAAGAAGAGGGCGGAGGUGGGCGCAGCGUCGCCGUCCCCGGUGGGAGAGGGCUCCCGGGGCAAGGAGGGGACAGGAGGGGACGGGCGCAGUGACCUGCGCACCAUCGACAGCGCGGAGGAGAGCACGGACACAGAGGAGACGGUAAGGCGGGGGCCAGCUGCCUUCCCCCAACUCCCUGCUUUGCCAAAACCGGGUCCUGGUGGGCUCUGGAAGGGACGCUCCGUGCUCCCUGGGGUGCACCCGAGGACCCCGCUCUGCUUUUCUCCUUGCAGAUGAAAACGCACAUCUCGGACCCCGAGGGGAGCCACUAGACGGACUGGGUAUGCUGGAGCCUUCCCGGUGUGCCAGCAGCUCCUGUCUUGUGUCCGUCUUUCUUUCGAGGCUUCCAGCUCGUGCCACGCUGGUGCCAGGUGCCCGCUCCCAGCACUCACGUCCCCUGCCAUGGUGCCAGCAGCCCCGUGUCCCACCCUGGCCAGCCACGGUGAGAGAAGUCUGUGUUUGAGUGCGCUUUGGGUUUGUUUUUGGUUUUUUUGUUCCUCCUGUUUUCCAGCUAGGGAUAAGUACACAGGGAAGGGAGGGUUGGAGGGCAGAAGGCCCACAUCCCGAAGGAGCAGCAGCCUGGAGCAGAAAUCCACGGUGUCCUCCUUCCUUGGAUAAAGUGUCCCAUACACACCGGUCACAUCCCGAGCCCUUGCCCCCCAGGCGUGCCCCCAGCUGCCUGCACACUCGAGGGUGGGCUCGUGCUGCUGGAGGUGACCGCCCUAAAGAGGAACCAGAGGGGCUCUCAGCACAGCACAAAGCCACAGCCCCGUGCCACCAGCGCCAUGGCACAGGGCCCGGCGGCUCCCAGUCGCCCGUGCUCACAACUGGGUUUUCCUUACUGGUUCCCCAAGGACUCCCACCGCGCUCCUGUCGGCAGGACGGAGCCUCUGCCCCGGGAAGUCGCGCCCCCAGCCCCACUCCCCCCGUCCCGCAGAGCUGUGCCACGUGUCCGUGUCCCUCGUUUCUAGGUCGUCCUUCUCGCUGGUAGGAAGUUGUUCUGUAUCUCUAAUUUGCUCCGGUAAAAGAGUGUAUUGUGUUGGAAAGGAAAAAAAAAAUAAAAUUUGUAUUUCUUUUCUCUGGUUAUUUGAC